rnacentral:rRNA from 1 species
CUACGGAGGGAGCAAGCGUUAUUCGGAAUCACUGGGCGUAAAGGACGCGUAGGCGGGUUUGUAAGUCAGGUGUGAAAUCCUACAGCUCAACUGUAGAACUGCACUUGAAACUACAGACCUAGAGUAUGGAAGGGGCAGAUGGAAUUAGUGGUGUAGGGGUAAAAUCCGUAGAUAUCACUAGGAAUACCGAAAGCGAAGGCGAUCUGCUGGGACAUUACUGACGCUGAGGCGUGAAAGCGUGGGGAGCAAACAGGAUUAGAAACCCUAGUAGUCC